rnacentral:rRNA from 1 species
GACAGAGGGUGCAAACGUUGCUCGGAAUCACUGGGCGUAAAGGGCUCGUAGGUGGCCAACUAAGUCAGACGUGAAAUCCCUCGGCUUAACCGGGGAACUGCGUCUGAUACUGGAUGGCUAGAGAUUGGGAGAGGGAUGCGGAAUUCCAGGUGUAGCGGUGAAAUGCGUAGAUAUCAGGAGGAACACCGGUGGCGAAGGCGGCUCUCUGGUCCACAACUGACGCUGAGGUGCGAAAGCUAGGGGAGCAAACGGG